AUUGUAUUUCAGGUCAAUGAAAAUUUUGGAGGGAUGAAGAACGGAAGACAGGCGAGCUAACGCUGCUGUGUUCUUUCACGAUCCAGAAAUCUUGUUUCUGUUAUUGCAAUUUCCAAGUUUGAUCGAGCGCUGAAGUUCAUACAAACUAUUAGCUUAUCCAUCUGAUCAAAGAAGGUCGUGGAAUUAUGAAAAAUCUGUUCGUAUGCUGAAUGUUAAGGGUUUAUGGAAAUUUGCGCCAGUCGUGAUGGUACUAGUAUGCUGUGUUCUUCAGGGACGAAGGUUUUGAUGGUAGAAACAUUGAUAAGACGUUUGAGAAGUGUAGGCGUUUGGAAGCUAUGCAGGAUGAAAGAGCUUCUGAAAACUGGGAAUAUUUGGA